UGGUUGAACUAGUUUACAGUCCCACCAACAGUGUAAAAGUGUUCCUAUUUCUCCGCAUCCUCUCCAGCACCUGUUGUUUCCUGACUUUUUAAUGAUUGCCAUUCUAACUGGUGUGAGAUGAUAUCUCAUAGUGGUUUUGAUUUGCAUUUCUCUGAUGGCCAGUGAUGAUGAGCAUUUCUUCAUGUGUUUUUUGGCUGCAUAAAUGUCUUCUUUUGAGAAGUGUCUGUUCAUGUCCUUCGCCCACUUUUUGAUGGGGUUGUUUGUUUUUUUCUUGUAAAUUUGUUUGAGUUCAUUGUAGAUUCUGGAUAUUAGCCCUUUGUCAGAUAAGUAGGUUGCGAAAAUUUUCUCCCAUGUUGUAGGUUGCCUGUUCACUCUGAUGGUAGUUUCUUUUGCUGUGCAGAAGCUCUUUAGUUUAAUUAGAUCCCAUUUGUCAAUUGUUAACCUUUUAACUAAAAUAAAGUGUUUUUGCACAAAUUUAGUGAUUAUACCUGAGCUGGUUAAUGUGAGAGAAAUGAUCUUAAACAUGAGCUUACUCUCUUGUUGUGGAGGUAAGACAGACACAGGCUACAAUUUGAUAACCAAUAAAAUUGCUUUUGAUUAGUGCCAAAAUGUAUGGAGCAGAUAUUGAGUCCAGUAUUUGGAUAAGAUAAAAUAUCUUGGAAUAUUUUGGGACUAAUUUUAGGAUAGACAUAUCAUUUUUAGGAAUGUUUAUAACAGUCCCCAUCAGGAGAUAAUCCCUUCUAGAAGGUUUCUUAGAUUUGAACAGUCUUGUUUAAAAAGAUAAAAGCUCCUAGAGGGAGCUCACUAAAGGGAAUGUGGUUCCCUCUAGUGGUGGUAGAAGAAGUUGUGAAUUUUCUUAUUUAUUUCUUUUUUUCAUAUUUAUUCAUUGCAUCCUGAUACAUAGUAGUUCCUGUAUUAGAGAUACAGAAAUAAAAGACAC
rnacentral:lncRNA from 1 species